ACCCCCUCCUCCACCUCCGCCAGCCUCCUCCCCAGGAAAACUGCUUGUUUCAGUGACCGAGCUCCCGCUGUGGGCCGGCACCCCCGCUGUGCUGCAAGCCACCUUGUGGGUUGACCCUCCCUGCAGACCCGAUGCCUGGGUGGCCUUAUUUUACAGGGAGACAAAGCUCUGAGAGGCUGGGUGACUUGUCCCAGGUCACACAGCCAGGACUUGGCCGCAUGCUGUGCUGUCUACGCUCUGGGACCAAGUGUCCUGCGGCCACGGGGAAGGGGAAGAUGUGGAAACUGAGGCACAGGGAGAGGCUGCCACUUGCCCAAGAAGCCCCCUUGACCCCCUGCUUGUCAUCAUGAGACCCCACUGCCAAUGCCGAGAGCUCCCACCUUAAGGGACUCCUCCUCUGUCCGAGGCCCUUCCAGGUCCUCGCUUGCUCGGUACCGAGGACGCUUCACUUUAAUCACUGAGAAACGAGAUCGAGUCCAAACGUCGCUAGGAAUGUGGGACUGCCCUGGAAUGAAUGUGUGUGUUACGCACGGCAGCACUGAGGGACAUGUGAGAUCGACCGCACAUGGAUUCAUGGAGCAAGCACGUUCUGAGCACCUACUGUGUACCAGGCCCUGUCCUUGGAGACCCAGCAGAGGCGCAGGCAGACCCGGCCCUGCUCAGUCUUUGCAGCUGACGCCUAGUGGGAAAGGCAGACAACAAACAAGAAAACCAAUAAGCAAUCAAGGUCAUUUUAGACUGUGUUACAUGCCCCUGUGGGGAGGGGGAAGGCCACUCUCGAGAGGGUGGUGUCCAACAGGACCUCUCUGAGGAGAUGAGGCUAGAAGGAUGAGAAGGGACCAGCCUCGGGAAGAGGGAGAAGGGAAAAGGUCCACGCAGAGGAAUGACAUGUGCAAAGGCCCUGAGGCAGGCGCUUGCCUGGAGUGUUAAGUACAUUGGAUGCCAGUGUCUGCAGUCAAAUGCGGGGGGAGGAGAGAGAAGGAGAUGAGAUUCAAGACGUAACAAGUGAACAGAUGAGCAGCACCUGGGACCGCUGUAAGGGCUUUGCAUGGGCAGGUGGGAGCCCUGGGGAGAUUUUGAGCAGCGGAGGCACCAGGUCUGAUUUAGGUUCUAACAGGAUCCCUUUGGAUGCGUUGGUUAGCUGCAGUGGCCCCCGCCAAAGAUGUCCAUGUCUCAAUCCCCAGAAUUUGUGAAUGUUCCUUAAUAUGGCAAAAGGAACUUUGCAGCUGUGAUUUAGUUAAGGCUCUUAAAAUGGGAAGAUUACCCUGCAUUAUCCAGGUGGCCCCAAUGUCAUCACGGGGGUCUUUAUAAGACGAGAGCAGAGGGAGACCUGACUACAGAAGAGGAGAAGGCGGAGAGAAGAGAAAAUGACAGACGCAGAGAUUGGUGAUGUGCCUUGAAAGAGGAGGAAGGGGCCGUGAGCCACGGGACGCGGGCAGCCACUAGAAGCCGAAACGGGCAAGGAAACCGAUUUCCUGCUGGAGCCUCUGGAGGCAGCCCCGCCAGCACCUUGGCUUCUGACCGCUGGAACCGCACGAGAAUAAAUGAGUGUUGUUUUAA